rnacentral:rRNA from 1 species
UACGAAGGGGGCUAGCGUUGCUCGGAAUCACUGGGCGUAAAGGGUGCGUAGGCGGGUCUUUAAGUCAGAGGUGAAAUCCUGGAGCUCAACUCCAGAACUGCCUUUGAUACUGAGGAUCUUGAGUUCGGGAGAGGUGAGUGGAACUGCGAGUGUAGAGGUGAAAUUCGUAGAUAUUCGCAAGAACACCAGUGGCGAAGGCGGCUCACUGGCCCGGUACUGACGCUGAGGUGCGAAAGCGUGGGGAGCAAACGGG